rnacentral:rRNA from 1 species
CGCGUAGGCGGCCUGGUCAGUCGGAUGUGAAAGCCCCGGGCUUAACCUGGGAAUUGCAUUCGAUACUGCCAGGCUGGAGUAUAGUAGAGGGAAGCGGAAUUCCGGGUGUAGCGGUGAAAUGCGUAGAGAUCCGGAGGAACAUCAGUGGCGAAGGCGGCUUCCUGGACUAACACUGACGCUGAGGUGCGAAAGCGUGGGGAGCAAACA